rnacentral:rRNA from 1 species
UACGUAGGGAGCGAGCGUUGUCCGGAAUUACUGGGCGUAAAGGGCGUGUAGGCGGGAAUUUAAGUAAGGUGUGAAAACUCCGGGCUCAACCCGGAGACUGCAUUUUAAACUGGAUUUCUUGAGGGCAGGAGAGGAAAGUGGAAUUCCUAGUGUAGCGGUGAAAUGCGUAGAUAUUAGGAGGAACACCAGUGGCGAAGGCGACUUUCUGGACUGUACCUGACGCUGAGGCGCGAAAGCGUGGGGAGCAAAC